rnacentral:rRNA from 1 species
GGGGGGGGGGGGGGGGGGGGGGGUGGGGGCAGGUGGAGCGGGCGGGCGGGAGGCGGGCUUCGCUGCUGUUAGCGGCGGCCGGGGGAGUGGCACGUGGAGAACCUACCUAUAAGACUGGGCUAGCGUCGGGAAACCGUAGCUAAUACCGGACAAUAUUUUGAACCGCAUGGUUCCAAAGUGAACGACGGUCUUGCUGUCACUUAUAGAUGGAUCCGCGCUGCAUUAGCUAGUUGGUAAGGUAACGGCUUACCAAGGCAACGAUGCAUAGCCGACCUGAGAGGGUGAUCGGCCACACUGGAACUGAGACACGGUCCAGACUCCUACGGGAGGCAGCAGUAGGGAAUCUUCCGCAAUGGGCGAAAGCCUGACGGAGCAACGCCGCGUGAGUGAUGAAGGUCUUCGGAUCGUAAAACUCUGUUAUUAGGGAAGAACAUAGGUGUAAGUAACUGUGCACAUCUUGACGGUACCUAAUCAGAAAGCCACGGCUAACUACGUG